UGACAAAUCACCUGUCAGGUGGUACUGUAGAUUUGUACAGCAACCGACAACUUUUCACCUUUUUUACUUUUCGUCGCCGCCGCGUCGGUGUCAACUCGACCAAAAUCCACCUGCGGAUUACUGUACUAAU
ensembl:ncRNA C08F8.10 ncRNA